rnacentral:rRNA from 1 species
CCUACGGGAGGCUGCAGUGAGGAAUAUUGGUCAAUGGGCGCGAGCCUGAACCAGCCAAGUAGCGUGAAGGAUGACUGCCCUACGGGUUGUAAACUUCUUUUAUAAGGAAAUAAAUUGUGCCCCGUGUGCGUUUUUGUCUUUACUUUUUGAAUAGGGAUCGGCUAACUCCGUGCCAGCAGCCGCGUUAAUACGGAGGAUCCGAGCGUUAUCCGGAUUUAUUGGGUUUAAAGGGAGCGUAGAUGGGUUGUUAAGUCAGGUGUGAAAGUUUGCGGCUCAACCGUAAAAUUGCAAUUGAUACUGGCAGUCUUGAGUACAGUAGAGGUAGGCGGAAUUCGUGGUGUAGCGGUGAAAUGCUUAGAUAUCACGAAGAACUCCGAUUGCGAAGGCAGCUUACUAAACUGCAACUGACAUUGAUGCUCGAAAGUGUGGGUAUCAAACAGGAUUAGAUACCCCGGUAGUC